rnacentral:rRNA from 1 species
GACGAACCGUGCGAACGUUGUUCGGAAUCACUGGGCUUAAAGGGCGCGUAGGCGGCUUAUCAAGUCGGGGGUGAAAUACUUCAGCUUAACUGGAGAAGUGCCUUCGAUACUGGUGGGCUUGAGGGAGGUAGGGGUCUGUGGAACUUCUGGUGGAGCGGUGAAAUGCGUUGAUAUCAGAAGGAACGCCGGUGGCGAAAGCGACGGACUGGACCUCUUCUGACGCUGAGGCGCGAAAGCUAGGGGAGCAAACGGG